GAUACGAAGAAACCCUGUUGGCACAAAGGGAAGUGGUAGCCUACACAAAGUAGAUUGAUAUGCGCCCUAGCUUUGUAUCGAGUAAUGGGACCUUGAAGUGUAAAAUCCUCUCCCAAUUUUAUUUGAGAUCGAGAUUGAUUGGAAGUUUUCCUUCCUCUACCUAUUUUGAUUGAUUAAUAAUAGUAUGAAAGCUUAAUUAGGAGAGAGUUCACUGAUCUCACAAAGUUUAGAUGAAAAUUUUGUUUACUUCUUCAUUAAACAAUCUAGCCUUUAAAUCCACCGCCGAGGCGCGAUAUUCCCUACUUGUAAGGAGUGAUAAGUACAACCUCAUCCUGAAUUAUUUCAAUAAAAUAAAAAUAUUAUCCUAAAUUAUCAACGACUAAAUGACGGCUAAAAAUCAACAACUAAUAAUAAAUAACAACUAAAAAACUAACAAGUAGAAUAUCUUCACACUAAUCCACAGACUGCUUGAAAUUCCCAUGAAAAAUCUCUUUAAAAUAUUCUGAAAUGGUGCCAGGUGGAGUGUUGUACUCCACUUUUCUUCUAUUUCGUAUCAUCACUCUCUCCCUCCAAAGCAGGAUGUUUCUCCAUAAGUUGGCUGGCACUCUCCAAGAAGCAUCUGCUAGAGAUAAACCAUCCCAAUGAACCAAAACUUGGGAAAUAUGGAAGACAGGGUGGAUUUUGGAAGAGGGAGGAAGAGUGAGAUAUGGGCCAGACCCUAUUUUUGCUUCAACUGGCAAAGGUCCAUAUCAUUUUGGUGACAUUUUCAUGUUGCUUUUAGUGCCAUGGGAUAGUUGUCUGUAUAGUUGGAGCUUGACUAAGACCAGAUCUCCUUCCGUAAAAGGAACCUCCUGGUGGUGCUUAUCAUAAGAUGAUUUCAUAAGAUUUCGGGCAUGUGAAUGUCUCUCCCUCAAAAGUUGCAAAGUUCGAUCACAAGUUGCAAUUCUUGGUCUACUGCUUCAAUAUGGGCAGCACCUGGACAGUAAGUCAAGAGGUGCGGAGGUGCCCGGCCAUAAACAAUUUCGAAUGGAGUAGUUCACAGAGAUGAAUGGUACCCGGUCUUGUAUAAAGAUUCAGCCCAAGAUAUCCAAUUGAACCAAUUUUUUGGCUUGUUACCUGUAAAACAUUGCAGAUACAUCUUGAUGGUUUUGUUAACCACUUUGGUUUGGCCGCCAUUUUGAGGGUGAUAAGUUCAGCUAAAGCAUAAUUUGGUUAUACACAAAUUGAAUAAUCCACUCCAAAGAGCUUGUCAAAAUUACAUCCCUGUCACUUACAAUUAUUUUGGGUAAACCAUGCAACUUAUAGAUAUUAUCAGAAAAAAAUACAAGCCACUGAAGCUGCUGAAUAAGGAUGUGCUAGUGGAAGAAAAUGAGCAUAUUUGGAGAAGCAAUCAACUACCACUAGUAGGAAAAAUUUUCCAUAUGACAGUGGUAAGGCAUCAAUAAACUCGAGUGACAUAUAUACCCGUACCUAGUAGGGAACUGGGAGAGGCUGCAGAAGUCCCGCUGGUUGUAAAGUCUCAGAUUUAUUCUGACAUACCACACAACUGCGAAUGUAAUUUUGUAUAUGCUGUUUCAUUAGCCAUUAAAAGUCAGCAGCGACACCAUUAAGAGUUUUCUGAUAUCCCUCACGGUAUUGAUCGUGCAAGGCAGAGAGAAUAGUCUGGAUGAAGGAGAGCUCGGCUCAACAUAAGCUUUGUGCUUGUAGUAAAUCAAUAGUGUCAUGAUCUUUGUGACCAAGUCUGUUAGAGCUAUAGAAUUUGCAAUUUCUGAUUUUAGAGGAUCAAAAAGCUCUAAUUGUGGCAUUAAAAUUGCAGAUAGCAUUCCACCAUCUUCAUCUUGUCGUGACAAGGCAUUUGCAACUUUGUUUUCUCUUCCUGCUCUAUACUCUACUAUGAAAUCAAAUCCCAAAAUUUGGACAGUCAAUGUUGCUGAGGUGAAGUGGUAAUACGUUGGUCCAAGAGGCACUUAAGAGAAUAAUGAUCUGUUCUAAUUAAGAAUUUUCUGCCCCACAAAAAUAUCUGCAAUGACGAACAGCUUUGGUGAGACCAACAAGUUUCUUCUCAUAGGCUGGUAAGUGAAGGUGGUGCUGUGCCAAUGGUCUGCUGAAAAAUGCUACAGGUCCGCCUUCUUGUUGUAAGACUGCUCCCAAGCCACUAUCAGAUGCAUACACUCUACCCCAAAACUUUAGUUGAAAUCCUGCAGUGCCAAGACUGGAGUGGUCGUCAUGGCCUGUUUAAUAACCUCAAAUGCAGCUUUUGAGCCAGUCAUCCAAGUCAAAGAGUUUUUCCGUAGCAUAUUGAUUAUGGGAGCUGCCAACACGCCAUAACUUUGGACGAAUUUUUUAUAGUAGCCUGUAAGUCCCAAAGUUCCCCAUAAUGCUCUGAUUAUGGUUGGUUGUGGCCAAUUACUCAUGGCUACAAUUUUUUCUUCAUCUGCUUGCAGCCCUUUGCUGAAAUUAUAUUACCAACAAAAAGUUAAGAUAA